GAUGAACGCUGGCGGCGUGCCUAAUACAUGCAAGUCGAGCGAACGGACGAGAAGCUUGCUUCUCUGAUGUUAGCGGCGGACGGGUGAGUAACACGUGGAUAACCUACCUAUAAGACUGGUAUAACUUCGGGACACCGGAGCUAAUACCGGAUAAUAUUUUGAACCGCAUGGUUCAAAAGUGAAAGACGGUCUUGCUGUCACUUAUAGAUGGAUCCGCGCUGCAUUAGCUAGUUGGUAAGGUAACGGCUUACCAAGGCAACGAUGCAUAGCCGACCUGAGAGGGUGAUCGGCCACACUGGAACUGAGACACGGUCCAGACUCCUACGGGAGGCAGCAGUAGGGAAUCGUACGCAAUGGGCGAAAGCCUGACGGAGCAACGCCGCGUGAGUGAUGAAGGUCUUCGGAUCGUAAAACUCUGUUAUUAGGGAAGAACAUAUGUGUAAGUAACUGUGCACAUCUUGACGGUACCGAAUCAGAAAGCCACGGCUAACUACGUG
rnacentral:rRNA from 1 species